rnacentral:rRNA from 1 species
CCUACGGGAGUCAGCAGUGGGGAAUUUUGGACAAUGGGCGCAAGCCUGAUCCAGCCAUGCCGCGUGUGGGAAGAAGGCCUUCGGGUUGUAAACCACUUUUGUCAGGGAAGAAACGGCCUUUUCUAAUACAGAGGGCUAAUGACGGUACCUGAAGAAUAAGCACCGGCUAACUACGUGCCAGCAGCCGCGGUAAUACGUAGGGUGCAAGCGUUAAUCGGAAUUACUGGGCGUAAAGCGUGCGCAGGCGGCUUUGCAAGACAGAUGUGAAAUCCCCGGGCUCAACCUGGGAACUGCAUUUGUGACUGCAUGGCUAGAGUACGGUAGAGGGGGAUGGAAUUCCGCGUGUAGCAGUGAAAUGCGUAGAUAUGCGGAGGAACACCGAUGGCGAAGGCAAUCCCCUGGACCUGUACUGACGCUCAUGCACGAAAGCGUGGGGAGCAAACAGGAUUAGAUACCCUGGUAGUCCACGCCCUAAACGAUGUCAACUGGUUGUUGGACGGCUUGCUGUUCAGUAACGAAGCUAACGCGUGAAGUUGACCGCCUGGGGAGUACGGCCGCAAGGUUGAAACGUCAAAGGAAUUGACGG